UCCAAAUAUUUACCUAAUGGAAUUUUGGAAUACAAUUCCUUCUAUACAAAAACCAAUAUUUUGAUUCCCCUUCCUUGAAUCUCACUGAAGCCUAAACUUGCUUAUAUUUUGUUGAGUUAUAUUAUUCUGUUUUGGGGAUCGUGAAACACUCCAAGGAAAAAGAGAGAGAAGCCUGUGCUGCAGAAGGGGGUUGGUUGGACUGUUGUAUUACACCAUAAGGGUAGAAAGAAAACUAGGGACUCUGAAAGUGGAAUCGCUGUUGUGUCGGUUGCCCAAGCUCCUGUGGAAAAUAAAAUGGCCAAAAAGAAGCAUAAAGGAGUUGGACUAGAUUUUUAUGUUCAAAUAAAAGAAGUCCAGAGAAAUGAAAUCAUGACCCUGCAGUGCAAAUUUGAGGAGGACAAAAGGCGGCUGCAGCAGCUGAGAGCUGCCAGGAAAUUUAGACCAUAUUAAAACAGUUUCCAGCAUGGUAGGUACAAACACUUUUUUUUUAAUCAUAGGAUACAUGGCCACAAAACUUUAGCAGAUUUACUCUUGGCACUCCAAUUUUGGUCUAAUGUAGUUGACCAUUUAUUGUAGCUUAUAGUUAUUGUAUUUUAAGUUAAAGAAAGUCCAAAGCAAAAAAAUACUGCUACAUUGUGACCUCAUUUUGGUAUGUUUGCCAAGAUUAUAUAGCAUCUUUGAGGCUUCAGGCCGAAA